UAGAAGGAAGAGAGUGAGCUCAUUCUUUUUUUUUUUUUUCAUAUACGGUUCGAGCUGACAGGAUAUUUUGGAGAUAUUGCAAAGAGACAUUUGGAAAUUCCAGCCUGUAGCUCAGAGGAGGUUUGAGCAAGAGAUGUGGAUUUGAGAGACAUUUGACAAGAAGUAAUGGUUGAAGACAUGAAGGUCACCAGGGAGAGAGGAGAAAGGAGAAGGAGGGGGACCUUGAAGAAAUCUCUCCUUUUCAGUGGAGAAACACAAAAUUCCAGCCUGUAGCUCAGAGGAGGUUUGAGCAAGAGAUGUGGAUUUGAGAGACAUUUGACAAGAAGUAAUGGUUGAAGACAUGAAGGUCACCAGGGAGAGAGGAGAAAGGAGAAAGAGGGGGACCUUGAAGAAAUCUCUCCUUUUCAGUGGAGAAACACAAAGUCAGCAAAGAAAAGAUGAAGACAUUUUUCAAGAAGGGUAGUCACACUCAAAUAUUGUUGGGGUCAGAGUCCUCAGAGUGUGGAAAGGUAACUUGAAAGUUGGUGGACAGCACGGCAAAGAUGGAGAGAAAGUUAUAAUCUGACAUGAGUUUCAAGAGAGGAGAGACUGUUGAGUUUAAAAGUAGAAAGUUAUGCAGAGAUGACCCAGAAGCAACAGUGGAGUGGAGGGUAAUGAGAAUGUGCCCUUUCUUGGCUGAGAUAUAGGAGAAAUUAGGAAGCAAACUUUACUUGAGAGGGUGAAAAGCUAGGUUAAAGAGAAAGGUAGGUGUUCAGUAGUGCAGAGAAAUGAAAGGGGAGGAAAAGGUGAAAGUGUUUAAGGCCAAGGUCCAAAGUGUAAAGGAAUUUACUGACAGUGGAAUGAGAGGUCCUAAGGUUACAAUAACAAAGUUUAACCAUUCCAUACAUUUUCACUGAGUCAAGUCAACCUGAAGAUAGAGCACACACCUCAUCAACUACCUGUGCAGAAAGCUUUCAGGCUCUGAGUGAGCCCUCUCCAUUGAAGAAGCUGCGGACUUCAAAGGCAGUCCAUCACGGUCUCUGAUAUUUGUCGAAUUGAAUUUUGGAAACUGCAAGGAACCUCAUUUCCAGUUCAAGCUCUGGGAUACCUUAGAAAGUCUUCCCCGCCAAGAAAAUUGUCAUGUGCCAUUAAUGAUCUACAUCUGAAGUUAAUCUUUGUUUCAAUACCAUUGGCCUACUUCUUUGGACUGUGAUCGUUGACCAAUUUCAUUUUGGGGAAUUUUAGGGUUUUUUUUUUUGUUGUUGCUAAAUGAGGUGUAACAAAAUCUAGCACUCAUGAUUUCCAUGAAAAAUUCAUUCACUAAACAAAAUUGACGGAGCGGUGGCGCAGUGGUUAAGAAUCCGCCUGCCAAUGCAGGGAC